ACGGUGAGGCUGGUGACUGGGACUAAGUCGUAACAAGGUAGCCGUAGGGGAACCUGCGGCUGGAUCACCUCCUUUCUAAGGGA
rnacentral:rRNA from 2 species